CAAUAGCGUAUAUUAAAGUUGUUGCGGUUAAAAAGCUCGUAGUUGGAUUUCUGCUGAGAACGACCGGUCCGCCCUUUGGGUGUGUAUCUGGCUCUUUCUUGGCAUCUUCUUGGUGAACGUUGCUGCACUUGACUGUGUGGAGCGCUACCCAGGACUUUUACUUUGAGGAAAUUAGAGUGUUUCAAGCAGGCAUACGCCUUGAAUACAUUAGCAUGGAAUAAUAAGAUAGGACCUCGGUUCUAUUUUGUUGGUUUCUAGAGCUGAGGUAAUGAUUAAUAGGGAUAGUUGGGGGCAUUCGUAUUUAACUGUCAGAGGUGAAAUUCUUGGAUUUGUUAAAGACGGACUACUGUGAAANCANNNGCCAAGGAUGUUUUCAUNGA
rnacentral:rRNA from 1 species